AAUAUUGCACAAUGGGGGAAACCCUGAUGCAGCCAUGCCGCGUGUGUGAAGAAGGCCUUCGGGUUGUAAAGCACUUUCAGUAGGGAGGAAGGUAGUGUAGUUAAUAGCUGCAUUAUUUGACGUUAGCGACAGAAGAAGCACCGGCUAACUCCGUGCCAGCAGCCGCGGUAAUACGGAGGGUGCGAGCGUUAAUCGGAAUUACUGGGCGUAAAGCGCAUGCAGGUGGUUUGUUAAGUCAGAUGUGAAAGCCCGGGGCUCAACCUCGGAAUUGCAUUUGAAACUGGCAGACUAGAGUACUGUAGAGGGGGUAGAAUUUCAGGUGUAGCGGUGAAAUGCGUAGAGAUCUGAAGGAAUACCGGUGGCGAAGGCGGCCCCCUGGACAGAUACUGACACUCAGAUGCGAAAGCGUGGGGAGCAAACAGGAUUAGAUACCCUGGUAG
rnacentral:rRNA from 1 species